GAGGAAAAGAAACCAACAGGGAUUGCCCUAGUAACGGCGAGUGAAGCGGCAACAGCUCAAAUUUGAAAUCUGGCGCGAGCCCGAGUUGUAAUUUGUAGAGGAUGCUUCAGGGCAGCGGCCGGUCUAAGUCUCUUGGAACGGGGCGUCAUAGAGGGUGAGAACCCCGUAUGCGACCGGUUGGCACCCGUCACGUAGCUCCUUCGACGAGUCGAGUUGUUUGGGAAUGCAGCUCUAAAUGGGAGGUAAAUUUCUUCUAAAGCUAAAUACCGGCCAGAGACCGAUAGCGCACAAGUAGAGUGAUCGAAAGAUGAAAAGCACUUUGGAAAGAGAGUUAAAAAGCACGUGAAAUUGUUGAAAGGGAAGCGCAUGCAACCAGACUUGUCGGCGGUGUUCCGCCGGUCUUCUGACCGGUCCAUUCGCCGCCGGCAGGCCAGCAUCAUCUGGGCGCGCCGGACAAAGGCGUGGGGAAUGUAGCUCCUCGGAGUGUUAUAGCCCCGCGCACAAUACGGCGCCGCCCGGGUGAGGUCCGCGCUUCGGCUAGGAUGCUGGCGUAAUGGUUGUCUGCGGCCCGUCUUGAAACACGGACCAAGGAGUCUAACAUCUAUGCGAGUGUUUGGGUGUCAAACCCCGACGCGUAAUGAAAGUGAACGGAGGUGGGAAGCGUGAGCUGCACCAUCGACCGAUCCUGAUGUCUUCGGAUGGAUUUGAGUAAGAGCAUAGCUGUUGGGACCCGAAAGAUGGUGAACUAUGCCUGGAUAGGGUGAAGCCAGAGGAAACUCUGGUGGAGGCUCGCAGCGGUUCUGACGUGCAAAUCGAUCGUCAAAUUUGGGUAUAGGGGCGAAAGACUAAUCGAACCAU
rnacentral:rRNA from 1 species